GAUGAACGCUGGCGGCGUGCCUAAGGUAUGCAAGUCGACCGGAAACACUUCGGGUGUCGAGGGGCGGACGGCUGAGUAACACGUAGGAAUGUACCCCAGACUGAGGGAUAAGCACCGGAAACGGUGUCUAAUACCGCAUAACCUCUUCGGAGAAAAGCUUCGGCGGUUUGGGAACAGCCUGCGCAUGAUUAGCUUGUUGGUGAGGUAAAGGCUCACCAAGGCGAUGAUCAUUAGCUGGUCUGAGAGGAUGAUCAGCCAGACUGGGACUGAGACACGGCCCAGACCCCUACGGGGGGCAGCAACUAGGAAUCUUCCACAAUGGACGAAAGUCUGAUGGAGCAACGCCGCGUGCAGGAUGAAGGCCUUCGGGUUGUAAACUGCUUUUUUCUGUGAUGAUUAUGACAGUAGCAGACGAAUAAGGAUCGGCUAACUCCGUGCCAGCCGCCGCGGUAAGAC
rnacentral:rRNA from 1 species